rnacentral:rRNA from 1 species
UACGUAGGGAGCAAGCGUUGUCCGGAAUCAUUGGGCGUAAAGCGUGCGUAGGCGGCCCGAUAAGUCCGCUGUAAAAGUCAACGGCUCAACUGUUGAAAGCCGGUGGAUACUGUCGGGCUAGAGUACGGAAGAGGCAAGUGGAAUUCCUGGUGUAGCGGUGGAAUGCGCAGAUAUCAGGAGGAACACCUAUAGCGAAGGCAGCUUGCUGGGACGUUACUGACGCUAAGGCGCGAAAGCGUGGGGAGCGAACAGG